CUAUUUCAGACGGGUGAGGUAUUUCGACUGCACGCACGCAGCAAGCAGGACCUUCACGUGGUCAGGCAGCGAGGGAAUACUUCCAGUAGUUGCUCUUGGAAGUGCAAGUGGUGUACGAAGCGGAAUCGGUGCAUCUUUCUAAUUAGGAACUGUGUAAAUUCUUCUACUCAACUGUUCUUGUAAUCUAAAUUCAGUAGAUGCUCUGUA